GUUUCAGGAAAUUGGAGCCCUCCGGGGCUUAGCUCUGUGAAGCCAGAGGCUGCUUCCCUGGCAUUGUCUGCGCUCCACACAGUCACCGCUCACAAGUGUUCAGUGCCAGCCCGGGACAAGGAGCCUCCUAGGAUGUGGGCCUUCCAGUGCGAAAAAUGGACAAUCUGGCUCACCUAGGGUGAGGACCCUCUUUCUCCCUUCUGGCUCUAAGUCUACAGGACAUCUGUGAGCUGCUCUGGCUACUCUAAGGCCAUCUUGUUGCUUUACAAGCUGGAGAAGCCCUGUGAACCUGGCUUGACGAUGAAUUCUGUCUUUUGUCUGUAUCUAUCCAUGGGGAGAUUCCCCACAAAUAAACCUGGGCUCCUGGCUUCUCCUCAAAGAAUCAGAAAGGCUGGCAGCUGCACCCACCCACGCUGGGCCGGACACGGAGCAACCCUGGGUCCAAGGCACCCAACUGUUAGUCUGUCCAACCUCUGCCAGCGUCUCCGGCUGAAAUAAUGCAUAUGGUUAAGGACGGGGCUUGGUACACGGGGAGUCCUGGGGAUAUGCACAGCUCGUGUAGCCUCUGGUUCCCACUUAGUAACUGCCUCUCAACUCAAGAGCACUGCAGUCUUCUGGCAGUGAAAAGAAGCAUGGACCUGAUACAGCGACGACAACCUCCGAGCAUGACUCUAAGUGACAGGGCCAUCACCAAAGGCCACACGUGAGUGUGUGAUUCCACCCGCAGGAGGCUGCAGAACAGCCUUACAGGGUCACCAGCUCCGGCCCUGGGACUUGAACACAGCUGAGCCCUCCCCGCGUCUCCUGCAGUAAGAAAGCUGCAGUGCCGGGCAGCUGGAUUUGCUCCUCAAAGAGAUGCGUCCCAGUCCUGACCCUCGGUGCCCGGGAAGGUGGCCUCUUCGGCGUGGAAGCCCUUUGCAGGUGUGAGUGAGGGGCCAGAGGAGCUCGCCCUGGAGUCAGGUGAGCCCCCAUCCGGUGACAGGCGUCCCCACAAGAGAGACAGGACAGGUGAGGACAGAAGCAGAAACGGAGCGCUGCGUCCACAGUCCGAGCACCGAGGGCUCCGGCAGCCGCCAGUGUCUGGGAGAGGCAGGGAAGGCCCUCGGGAGCCUUGCAUAGCCAAGGCUAUGACUCUGACUCCCGUGCAGCCUCCCUUGGACUCCUGGGAUGCACUCUUACUAACCACCAGGUCUAGGGCACUCUGUCACAGCAACGUCAGGCAACUGCUGUGGGACUGGUGAUGUGAUGUUAAGGCAGGGGAAACUGAGGCACAGAGAGGGUGGUGGCUGGGGAUGGGUGCACCACUCAGGAGUGGCGGGCGUGGCUGGCACAGGCGGCCUGGCUCCCUGAGUGCCUGCCGCCUGGGGCAGAUGCACAGAGGCAUCGGGAGGCCCGCGCAAGCGGAUGGCAGAG
rnacentral:lncRNA from 1 species